AGUCGAACGCAUCCUUCGGGGUGAGUGGCAGACGGGUGAGUAACGCGUGGGAACGUGCCCUUCAGUUCGGGAUAACCCAGGGAAACUUGGGCUAAUACCGGAUACGUGCGAGAGCAGAAAGAUUAAUCGCUGAAGGAUCGGCCCGCGUCUGAUUAGCUAGUUGGUGGGGUAAUGGCCCACCAAGGCGACGAUCAGUAGCUGGUCUGAGAGGAUGAUCAGCCACAUUGGGACUGAGACACGGCCCAAACUCCUACGGGAGGCAGCAGUGGGGAAUAUUGGACAAUGGGCGCAAGCCUGAUCCAGCCAUGCCGCGUGAGUGAUGAAGGCCUUAGGGUUGUAAAGCUCUUUCGUCCGGGACGAUAAUGACGGUACCGGAAGAAGAAGCCCCGGCUAACUUCGUGCCAGCAGCCGCGGUAAUACGAAGGGGGCUAGCGUUGUUCGGAAUCACUGGGCGUAAAGGGCGCGUAGGCGGCUUUAUAAGUCGGGGGUGAAAGCCUGUGGCUCAACCACAGAAUUGCCUUCGAUACUGUAGAGCUUGAGACCGGAAGAGGUAAGUGGAACUGCGAGUGUAGAGGUGAAAUUCGUAGAUAUUCGCAAGAACACCAGUGGCGAAGGCGGCUUACUGGUCCGGUUCUGACGCUGAGGCGCGAAAGCGUGGGGAGCAAACAGGAUUA
rnacentral:rRNA from 1 species